CCUUGUAAUACAUCUAUGUAGUACCUCAAGCUGGAGAUGUGUAGAAACACUAGGUGAUUACUUAUCAGAAAGGAAUAUCAUGGGAAUUUAUGCAUCCAAAUUCUCUUCAGGAGGACAAAUAAAAAUCCUGUGCUGAUUGGUGAGCUUGGUGUUGGAAAGACUGCCAUUUCUGAAGGCAAUGAAGAGGAAUGCUCUUCAUGGACUGAGUGUGGCAAAAUUUUGCAAGUUGCUCAGUUCAAAUGCCAGACGUCUGCAACCUAUGAAUUAAAAGAGGAGUUGAAGAUAGGU